rnacentral:rRNA from 1 species
GACGAACGCUGGCGGCGUGCUUAACACAUGCAAGUCACGGGGGCGUCGCAAGAGCAACCGGCGAACGGGUGCGUAACACGUGAGCAACCUGCCGAUCUGAGGGGGGAGUAGCCGGCCCAACGGCCGGGUAAUACCGCAUACGUUCUCGAGGGGGAGUCCUCUUGAGAAGAAACCUCCGGGGCAGAUCGAGGGGCUCGCGGCCUAUCAGCUAGUUGGUGAGGUAACGGCUCACCAAGGCAUCGACGGGUAGCUGGUCUGAGAGGAUGGCCAGCCACAUUGGGGACUGAGAGACGGCCCAGACUCCUACGGGAGGCAGCAGUGGGGAAUAUUGGACAAUGGGCGAAAGCCUGAUCCAGCCAUGCCGCGUGAGUGAUGAAGGCCUUAGGGUUGUAAAGCUCUUUUACCCGGGAAGAUAAUGACUGUACCGGGAGAAUAA